UUUGUCCCCAGAGGCACUGCUGGUGUGGCUGCGGUGACACCUAUGUAUGUAGGUGGCAGAUGAACUGAUGUAGGUGGCAGAGAACUGAGAGGCCAUGUCCUCACUCAGUGCUCUGACCUAUGAACAUCCCUGAAAACAGUGAGCCUGAGAUG
rnacentral:snoRNA from 1 species